GAUGAACGCUAGCGACAGGCCUAACACAUGCAAGUCGAGGGGCAGCACAUGAGUAGCAAUACGAUGGUGGCGACCGGCGCACGGGUGCGUAACGCGUAUGGAACCUACCCACCGCAGGGGGAUAACCCGCCGAAAGGCGGACUAAUACCCCAUGGUUCCCCGACCCUGCCUGGGGUUGGGGGUAAAGCCUACGGGCGGCGGUGGAUGGCCCUGCGUGCCAUUAGCUGGCUGGUGGGGUAACGGCCCACCAGGGCGACGAUGGCUAGGGGGUCUGAGAGGACGAUCCCCCACACUGGUACUGAGACACGGACCAGACUCCUACGGGAGGCAGCAGUGAGGAAUAUUGGUCAAUGGACGAGAGUCUGAACCAGCCAAGUCGCGUGCAGGAAGAAUGUCCUAUGGAUUGUAAACUGCUUUUGCAGGGGAAUAAAGUGCAUCACGUGUGAUGUUUUGUAUGUACUCUGCGAAUAAGGAUCGGCUAACUCCGUGCCAGCAGCCG
rnacentral:rRNA from 1 species